GAGGAUAAGUUAAUUUGCCAAUGUUGGAUGGAGAUUAGCCAAGAUCCGAAGACCGGCGCGCAACAAAAGAGUCUUGUUUUCUGGACGAGAAUCCACAAAACUUUUCAUGAAAGGAAGAUGUUUGAGCCCUACCAAAUUACAAGCAACCAUGGCAUCACCUUGAUUCAAAAGAGGUGGUUGUUCAUCCAACAAGAGUGUAACAAGUCUUGCGCCGCAUUUGAGAGCGUCGAAGCACGCCCCGUGAGUGGUCUCAGCGUUGAGGACAUGGUAUGUUCUCCUUAUCCUAGUCAUUUUCCUUGCUACGGCCAUGUGAGACUUCGGCCUUGUAUAUGUUUGCAUGCUCAAUUGUUGUUGAUCAUGUGGUGUAGGCAUUUCAAUCUUUGGAAGCAUUCAAGGCCCGGCACAAUGACAAGCCAUUCACUUUUACGCAUUGUUGGACGAUCAUGA
rnacentral:rRNA from 1 species